GACGAACGCUGGCGGCGUGCCUAAUACAUGCAAGCCGAGCGGACUUGAAGAGAAGCUUGCUUCUCUGAUGGUUAGCGGCGGACGGGUGAGUAACACGUAGGCAACCUGCCUGUAAGACUGGGAUAACUACCGGAAACGGUAGCUAAUACCGGAUAGGUGAUUUUCUCGCAUGAGGGAAUCAAGAAAGACGGAGCAAUCUGUCACUUACGGAUGGGCCUGCGGCGCAUUAGCUAGUUGGUGAGGUAAUGGCUCACCAAGGCGACGAUGCGUAGCCGACCUGAGCGGGUGAACGGCCACACUGGGACUGAGACACGGCCCAGACUCCUACGGGAGGCAGCAGUAGGGAAUCUUCCGCAAUGGACGAAAGUCUGACGGAGCAACGCCGCGUGAGUGAUGAAGGUUUUCGGAUCGUAAAGCUCUGUUGCCAGGGAAGAACGUCUUAGAGAGUAACUGCUCUAAGAGUGACGGUACCUGAGAAGAAAGCCCCGGCUAACUACGUGCCAGCAGCCGCCGUAAAAC
rnacentral:rRNA from 1 species